AUGGACUGGACCUGGAGGAUCCUCUUCUUGGUGGCAGCAGCAACAGGUGCCCACUCCCAGGUGCAGCUGGUGCAAUCUGGGUCUGAGUUGAAGAAGCCUGGGGCCUCAGUGAAGGUUUCCUGCAAGGCUUCUGGAUACACCUUCACUAGCUAUGCUAUGAAUUGGGUGCGACAGGCCCCUGGACAAGGGCUUGAGUGGAUGGGAUGGAUCAACACCAACACUGGGAACCCAACGUAUGCCCAGGGCUUCACAGGACGGUUUGUCUUCUCCUUGGACACCUCUGUCAGCACGGCAUAUCUGCAGAUCUGCAGCCUAAAGGCUGAGGACACUGCCGUGUAUUACUGUGCGAGAGA